GGCGGUGUUCCUGGUAGCGUCAGCCUCCUGGCUUUUCCUUUUCCUGGACGCUUCAGGGCUCCGCGGCCUGCGCUAGACUGGAGGGUCCGCGUCACUCUCGCCCUCCUGCUUUCCGCGCUCUCACCCGCUCCCGCCUCCUGAGGGCACGACUUGUGGAGGAGCGCGGGCGGCGGGGCGUGAGCGAGCUGCCUCUGCCGCCAUCUUAGAGAAGGCGAGCGUGGGGUGUGCGUGGGCGCGAGUCGGCCUCCCGCGGUGCCGCCGCAGCGUGGCGCGGAGAGGCAGGGGCAUCCAGUGGUUCAAGGUUACAAUAAGCUGUGAUCGUGCCACUGCAUUCUACCUGGGAUGACAGAGUGGGACCCUGUGCCACAGAGUGAGACCCUGUCUCAAAAAAAAAAAAACUAUGUAAAUCCAAGAUGCGCUGGCAGCCAAUUGCAUGGUGGCCACCCACAUGGAGGAUGGGUCUUCCUCUCCCAGUCCUCUGACUCAAAUGUCAGUCUCCUCUGGCAACACCCUCAUAGACACACCCAGAAACAAUGCUUUACCAGCUAUCUAGGCAUCCUUCAAUCAAGUUGACACCUAAUAUUAACCAUCACAUGUACCCAUAUAUUUUGUGUGCUGCUUAUAUGUAUCUUACAUUUCAGAAAAUCCUCCAAAGUUUAUAAUUAUGUUUACAGGCAUACUAACUUGCUCUACAUUAUGUUAUAAAGAUUUUUCGGCCAGGUGCGCUGGCUCACGCCUGUAAUCCCAACACUUUGGGAGGCCAAGGCCGGCGGAUCACAAGGUCAGGAGUUGAAGACAAGCCUGAUCAACAUGGUGAAACCCCGUCUCUACUAAAAAUACAAAAAUUAGCUGGGCCUGGUGGUGCUGACCUGUAACCCCAGCCACUCAGGAGGCUGAGGCAGGAGAAUCACUUGAACCCGGGAGGCAAGGUUGCAGUGAGCCAAGAUUGCGCCACUGCACUCCAGCCUGGGCGACAGAGCGAGACUCCGUCUCAAAAAAAAAAAAAAAAAAAAAAAAAGAUUUUUCCACUUGUACAAUUAGGAAUAAGAUGUGUAUAAUAAUAAUAUAAUUCACUAAUCCUCCUUA
rnacentral:lncRNA from 1 species